UCCUCCUCGCCGCCGCGACAAUCAAAUCCCACAUCGGGAUCCUCCCUGAUCCCCUCGCCCACCUCCUCCAACCAGCACCGUUCGCCCGAUUCCCCUAUCACCUCAAGACACCGAGAGCCUUCCAGCCACUGCUCUCGCGUGCCCCUACCCCGAGCUCCUCUCGUGCUCCUCCCUGCUCCCUCACUCUCAAUUGGAUCGAGGGGAGGAGCCCCUCGACCCCGCGUCACCACCAACCUCCACGCCGGCGAGCGAACCAGCAGCCACCAGAUGAGCGAACUCAGGCAGCAACCAUGGCACCAUCCAGCAGGAGCUCUGCCUCGCCUGCAACCUCUGCCUGCCCUCUGACUCGAUCUGGUGGGUCUCGAGGAUCUUGCUGCCCGGAUCCGCUUCCUCGGGCCACUACCAGCGUCGCCGGAGCCUCUGCAGGAGCCACGCCUGUCGGCUACUGCUCCUUUUCAUCGAGCCACCCAAGUCCUAGCAUGCCGUCGCCCCGCCAAGUCCCAGCACCAUGUUCCACUCCCGUUGGACGAGCUCGACCCUUCCUCCGGCUAGAUUGGUCUCCAGCAAGGCUGGAUUCACCCGUCUGCUCCAUCCCCGUCGUCCCGCCGGAGUUCCCCGCCUCGCCGCUGUCCAGCAGCGCCAUCGCCCUGUUCUCCCCUGCAACAAACGAGGAGUCCAGCUGCUCGCGUUGACCCGAAGCGUUGCAUCGGCCUGCCUCCCAUCCACCACCUGAGGCCCAGCGGACCGCCUCCAAGCCCAGCAACUACCAAGGCCGGCCUACCUCUCCACUAGACGGGCCUUGGCCCAUGUGAGCAACCUCUCCAGCAGGGACCGGCUCUGUGAAGCCCAAUGUGAGGAAGCCCAUCUUCGGUUGCUCCUGUAGAGCCCAGUUCGAGCCAGUUUUGGCCUGACUCAUGUUUUUUUUUCGCGGA